CCCCCCCACCCCCCAGGGGUCGCUGUGCCACCCAUGCCCCGCACAAGGACGUGGGAUGCAUUCAUCAACACGCCAGUGACCGAAACCCAAAGGUUGCAGGUUCGAUUCCCAGGCAAGGCUAAAAGCCCGGAAGGUUGAAAGCGCGGAACAAACUCGAGACUGAAAAUGGCUGCAGUACAGGCCUGGCAGGACAUCACCUGCUGUCCAUACCGGCACAUCCUUCUCAGUGGAGCUGAGGCUCUGGGGAGCAAGGUCUGUGGUUUUCUUUUCUUCUUUUUUUUUGUUACUCCUGGAAGGCUACUGAGCCUUUUCAUUGAAUGAAAGGCCGGUGGAAUUACUGAAUAACUGCUGCUGUCGCCAUCAUCAUCGGGGUGCUAUUGCAGGUGCAUAAGGUUUCCCAGUCUCUGGCCUGUCACUGUGUCACCCCCAAUAGAGUAAAAUGAAAAAACAAAUCCCGAUGUAUUAUUUAAUAUGUACUGUAAGAGAUCGACAAUGCAUGUCCACAAUGUGGACCCGGGUCAAAUGCGUAUUUGAUUUGGAUUCAAAUACUUUUCUACGCUUUACCGAUCUUGUCUGGUGUAUUGGAACCAGUGAAAUACUCUCAUGCAAUGCAAAAAAAAAUGCAUUGCAUGAGAGUAUAAAAGUGCAAAACCCUGUCUUCUGGUCAUAUUGGCAGGCUCAAUUGCACCAGGCAAGACCAACAGAGCACAGAAAAGUAUUUGAAUCCAAAACAAAUACGUAUGUGGCCCAGGUGUGGUUGGAUCAGCUACAGGGCAGCAUCAGCAUUGAGAUCAGGGUGGGGGAAAGAUGUGGCAGCCCUGGGUCCAUGAAGGAAUAUAGGACAUAUAAAAUUAGACAUUAAAAUAAGAGAGAGAUAAAAGGGAUUCUGGCAUAUGGCAAUAAAACCUUAUUUCACAGUGCUCUGGGCCCCAUCUGCAAUCCAAUCAGCAGUCCUGAAAUAGAAGGUCUGAGGACAGGAGGGAGAGACAGAAAGAAGGAGGGAAGGAUGGAUGGAUGGAUGGAUGGGCUCUAGGCCUCCUGAGGAAGGAGUGAUACACCACCUGACUGGGACUCGCAACAUCCCUCUCUUUUUUUAGGACAUGGAUCAGCAGACCAGCAGCAAUCACCUGCCACAGCCCUCAGCAGCCUCUCUUUACACACACACACACACACACACUCACACACACUCUCACACACACACACUCACACACACUCUCACACACACACACACACCCACACACACACACACUCUCACACACACACACACACACACACACACACACACACACACACACACUCUCACACACACACACACACACACGCGUGUCUAUCUUUAGCAGUAGAGGAGAAUCACACACACACACACACACAGGCAUGCAAGCACACACACACAUACACACACACACUCUCACACACACACGCACACCCACACACACAUACACACAUGUCUAUCUUUAGCAGUAGAGGAGAAUCACACACACACGCACACCCACACACAUACAUGCGUGUCUAUCUUUAGCAGUAGAGGAGAAUCACACACACACACACACAGGCAUGCAAGCACAGACACCCACACAGGCACGCAAGCACACACACACACACAUGGAGACACGCAGGCGCACGCACACACACAUGCAGACACACACACACACAAAUCUAAUGUUGAUAGGAUAAAUAUUUCCUCUUGUGACCCACUUCCAUUUUCCCAAAGCAUUCACUCAUUCUUGAAAUAUUUACAGAGGGAAUUUGAUACAUUUAUGGUGUGGGAUGGCAUGUUUUACUAUCUUUUUAAUAAACCUGCUCAAAUCAA